AUGGAGGGCGACAGCCAGACGUCGCCGGCAGCGGCCGCCGUAUCCAAGGUGCUCGAAGACGACGACCUCCUCGUAGAGAUCCUUCUCCACGUCGGAUUCCCCACCACCCUCGUCCGCGCCGCCCUCGUCUGCAAGCGCUGGCUGGGGCACGCCUCCGAGCCCGCCUUCCUCCGCCGUUUCCGCAAGCUCCACCCGCCCCGCCUCCUCGGCUUCUACAUCGACGACAGGUACUGUGACUCCGCUCCGCCAACCUUCGUCCGGAUGCUGCCGCAGCCCGCAGAGCUCUCUGCCAUCGUCCGCCGCACAAAUUUCAGCGCCUACAGGAGGCUAUCGCCCGGCAUGCUUGACUGCCGGAACGGCAGCGUAUUCACCACCUUGUACACAGACAAGAGCGCUCUUGGGGUGCACCGCCCGCUGUGCCAUGGGGGAGGUCUGACCAUCGUCCCAUCACUCCCACGCCCUCUACUCCCCUUGGGCAGUUCCUGCACUUUCAGACAAGUCCUCUCCAAGCAAGGGGAUGGCCUGUCCUACUACUACUUGUACGUGGAGUCUAGCAACCAAGAAUCUAGGAUGCACGUAUAUAUGAUGCAGGAUGGUUCCUGGCGCAGGCAUCAUCUCUUGGACAUAGACCAACUCCGCCGUCCGCGCUCAAUGCCAAAAGCUGUGCUCGUCGGCAAUAAAAUUUAUAUGGCGGCAGGCCCAAGCGACAUUCUUGUCUUCGAUUUGACGACCUCGAGUUUCUCCAUGGUUCGGCUUCCACAAGGAGUGGAGCAUGGCAACGGAGCCACCACCAUGUUGUCACGGGCCGGUGAUGCUUCUGGUGUAUAUCUCAUCCAGCUUAAGGAGUUUCAACUCCGCAUCUGGCUCCGCAAGGGGGACAACUGGUUGCUGGUUGAUACUAUCUGCCUGCAUGAAAUGUGUGAUAAUUUGAGGAAGUCGGAUUCCACAAUCAAGGAUGAGCAUAGUGUUCUUCUCAUGGACCAGGUGGUGGACUAUGGUGACUUUGUGUUCUUGCAGAUGGGUGGAUGUGUACUGCACUUGGAUGUCAGGUGCAGGACACUACGUAAAGUGUAUGAAUACAGAAGCACUCGUUACCGUGAUAUCCAUCCUUUUAUGAUGAUCUGGCCUCCCAUAUUCCCCGCGGUCAAGUAUGAUCCUCCAAGAACUGCAACUUGA
rnacentral:rRNA from 1 species